rnacentral:rRNA from 1 species
UACGUAGGGUGCGAGCGUUGUCCGGAAUUACUGGGCGUAAAGAGCUCGUAGGUGGUUUUGUCGCGUUGUCCGUGAAAACUCACAAACUCAAUUGUGGGCUUGCGGUCGAUACGGGCAUCACUGGAGUUCGGCAGGGGAGGACUGGAAUUCCGUGGUGUAGCGGUGAAAAUGCGCAGAUAUCAGGAGGAACACCGGUGGCGAAGGCGGGGAUCUCUGGGCCGGAUACUGACGCUGAGGAGCGAAAAGCGUGGGGGAGCGAACAGG